rnacentral:rRNA from 1 species
AAAGCGUGCGCAGGCGGUUAUGUAAGACAGAUGUGAAAUCCCCGGGCUCAACCUGGGAACUGCAUUAGUGACUGCAUAGCUGGAGUACGGCAGAGGGGGAUGGAAUUCCGCGUGUAGCAGUGAAAUGCGUAGAUAUGCGGAGGAACACCGAUGGCGAAGGCAAUCCCCUGGGCCUGUACUGACGCUCAUGCACGAAAGCGUGGGGAGCAAACAGGAUUAGAUAUCCGUGU